rnacentral:rRNA from 1 species
UGACAAACCGGAGGAAGGUGGGGAUGACGUCAAGUCAUCCAUGGCCCUUACGGCCUGGGCUACACACGUGCUACAAUGGUCGGUACAAAGGGUUGCCAAGCCGCGAGGUGGAGCUAAUCCCAUAAAACCGAUCGUAGUCCGGAUCGCAGUCUGCAACUCGACUGCGUGAAGUCGGAAUCGCUAGUAAUCGUGAAUCAGAAUGUCACGGUGAAUACGUUCCCGGGCCUU